rnacentral:tRNA from 1 species
UAGCUCAUUGGUAGAGCCCCCGCUUCGCAAGCGGAGAGGUCUGGGUUCGAUUCCCGG